UACGUAGGGGGCAAGCGGUGUCCGGAAUCAUUGGGCGUAAAGGGCUCGUAGGCGGCCAACUAAGUCAGACGUGAAAUCCCCAGGCUUAACCUGGGAACUGCGUCUGAUACUGGAUGGCUUGAGAUUGGGAGAGGGAUGCGGAAUUCCAGGUGUAGCGGUGAAAUGCGUAGAUAUCUGGAGGAACACCGGUGGCGAAGGCGACAUCCUGGACCAACACUGACGCUGAGGAGCGAAAGCCAGGGGAGCAAACGGG
rnacentral:rRNA from 1 species